UCAUUAAGUCCAACCUUCAUGAGAGUUUGCAUAAAUUCUGCUCGUUUUCUAACAGCCAGUGCAUUCUCGACUAGUUUUCUUAAUUAUCUCUACUCCUUGGCCUAGCAUGUUAUAAUUUGCUAGUUAUUAGCCACGAUUUAACCCCCAUGUUUCUCUAAAUAGAAUACAAGUUCUCAAAGACAGGGACCUUGACUCAAUUCUUUUAUUAACUUCAUAGCAUCUAUUUUGUGAAAGUUUCAUAGCAGUUUGCUCAUAGGAAUAUAUAGCACCUAGAUCAUUACAGUAUUCGUUAUCUCUUUUGUCUGUACUCUGCUUCCUGGUUUGGCAUAUCUCAAAUGCUUAGGUAAUAGGUGUAGAAAGGUAAGGGAGGGAGGGAGAAGAGUUAGAAACCAUGAAUUGAUUGGUAUCAGGGUUAUCCAGGAGAGUAAUAUUGCUAGACAGUCUGAAAAUCCAAAUAUAUUUGGUCUUUACAAAUAAAUCCCUUAGAGAAGUUCUCCAUUGUGUAUAUAAGGCAAUACUUUAUUCUAGUUUACGGAAAAUGACCCUUAAAUUCACAUAAAGAAUGAAAUCUUGUCAUUCACAGCAAGGUGGAUGAACCUGAAGGAUAUUAUGUGAAAUAAGCCAAGAACAGAAAAUCAAGAAAGAUAAACAACAAAUGUUGUCGCUUAUAUGCAGAAGCUAAAAGAGUUGAUCUGAUGGAGCUAGAAGAGGGGAUUUUGAAUGUCCCCAACACAAAGGAAUGAUAAAUGUUUAAGAUGAAGUUUCAUCUUCAGCCAUGUUGGCCCUAGUCUUGAACUCCUGACGUCAGGCGAUCUGCCCACCUUGGCCUCCCAAAGUGCUGAGAUUACAGACUCCACAGAGGUGCAACCCAGGAGAGAAAGGAAGGUCUACAUUCCUCAAAACUCAUCCAGCACAAUUCAUUGUCCACACUGAAUAAGGACAUGGUGAGUUUGAACUUUGCCCCCUACAAAGACCUCUUAUUUACAAAAUAUUUCCUCCUCUAUUAAAUGCACAAGGCAAAGUUUUAGUUAAUGCACAGAAAUAACUAAAAUUUAGUUUAUAUUAUAUUUACUUCCUCAUAUUCUCACAAAUCUAAAUUGCCAUGCUCUUCUACAGAGGCAAGAAAAAAGUAAUGCCUAACUCAUGGGAUCUAACAAUCAUGGGGGUUAUGGGACAGCAAAUAUGCAACUCCUGAAAGACUAAGCCACCAUAAAAAAAAGAUUCAAGGUUUGUCCUCCAAAAAUGACAGUCCAAUUCAUUUCUAUGCAUUUAACUUGCCUGUGCCUUUAAUUUGCCUCUUAUAAUAGAUUCCUGUGAGAGUGUAAAAAAUAAAUUGUGAUAUGAGAAGAUGUUUUCUUCUUACUUUUCCCCACAGUGAGGAAAAUGGUUGUCGGGUUCUUCUCUGUUUUUCCAGAGCAUAAAGCUUGAGAAGAGAAGGUAGCAGCUGCUUUUGAGGGCAUUUUACUCUUUGCACUUGCCAUAAAAAAUACUGGAGAAAACGGCUUAUGGACAUAAGACUUCAUCAGCCCUCCUAACUCUUUUCGGUAGACAAGCUCUUAAAUGAUCGAAAUUAUAGGCUAAGACCAAAUAACAUUUAGACAAAGAGCACCUAAUACUUCCAACUGAAAGCAAUUUAUAGAAUUUAAUCUGAAAGCAAUUUGCAGAAUGUAAUCUCAGGAGUUUAUACGUGGUAUCUAAAGAGGUGAGUAUUAAAAACCUGGAAUGUUCAAAGUUACUAUCAGUAAAAUUCUCAGCACUGGCAGUGUGUAGCACUCUAAAAAAUCAAAGUAUUUUAUAGAUGUCCCAACCAAGGUUAUUUCUCAACAUUCCUGUAAGAUUAAUGUCCUCCGUCCCCAUCCCCCAUUUCCCAUUUUACCAAUGGGGACAUUUGGGGAAGAAAAAACAAAGACUUUCUGUAAGAAAGGAUGAAUCAGGAAUAGCUGAAAUUGAAGCUCAGAAAUUCCUGGUUCCACCCCUAUAUUCAGAUGUUUGCAUUUACAAGACAUUUUAAAAUAAAGAAAAAAUGCUGCAAUAUCAGUAAAUCUAAAUGCAAUGAACAUCUUUAUCUCCUAUCCUCCCCUCUGAAAGGCACUACUAUUUAUAAAGGCUUUGUGGAUCACAAAGCUGUGAAGCUAGCGUUCUCCUCUGCUUCCUCUACUCCCCCUUACACUGUUUAUGGCUGAGAGAGGCCUGAAGGACAUCUCCACCAUUACCAUUUGUUUUCUUAAAAAUGUUACCACAUUCAGCUAUACUUGGAUAUAUAUCUAUUUAAUUUGAACCAAAUGCAAAAGAUGUAGAAAAUCAUUAUAUUAAUACUUCUUAAAAGUUAUUAUGGGUUGUCCCUGAUCUUUUCAUUCUUUCUGUGUCCCACCCUUAUAAAACAAAACAAAAACCUCAGAACCCUAUGCAAUGAAUAUAAGCCAAGCAAGAAACUUGUGACCUUGACCUUUGUUUGUUUUUCUCGUUUCAGGUGGGAGUUCAGUCUCACUGUGAACCACCAUCAUUAUGAUAGAAGUGGACUAUUUUCUCUUCUCUCCUCUCUUCUUUACUACUAAAUCUCUCUGCCAAAACAGGAACAAGAGUGGUCCCUGAUCCUUCUUCCCUAACCAUGGUUGCCCUCAGAACAACUUAAAUUACAUUUCCCAAGCCCAUCGUCUGGAAUUCCUUGUUGUUUCCAACUUGCUCUGGAGAACUCUUGAACCAAGACUACUCUCUUAUCCCUGUUGGGAGGGACCAAGAGCUUUGCAGACAGGGAGCCUCCCUGUUAGUUUCCCUCUGUUAUCAAACUAUACAAAAUAUACACCCUUUCUCUUGGGACCUCUAUUAAGUUCAUUCUAGUCUAAUGAUUGUACCUUGGCCACAAAAUCACUCUACUUCAUUUCUAGGUCCCUCCUUUCCUGUCUUCUCACUUCCCCAGUAUGUGUACUUGGGGGAAUUCCAUGCAACCCCACAUUUGGAUCCUCCCAACGCUGUUGUAAAAGCUGAAGAAAGCUUGGGUUCUGUCUAACGUUCUGUCAACUGUCCCCAUAACGUAAUUUCAACAACCCCCCCUUCCCCCCACACCCAUCAGGGUCUGUGCAUCACUGUCCUGGGCCCUGGCCUUCUCAAGAAGAAACUCGGCUUGUUAUAAAAACUCAGACUGACUCAGCAGGGGGAUCUUGAUUCAGGUCAUCCACAGUGGACAGAAGAGAACUUGCCAAGACAGACUUUAUGGAUGUUGGGAAUCCUCAGAGCCUGCAGUCUGUCCCAGACAAAUCCUACGGGCUGGGCUUUCCUCCUUUAUGUGUAUACCAGAAUGAAGACAUGUUUACUGAAAGGGUUUUAGUAAACAUGUUUACUAAAAGGAUUUUUAAUAAAGAUGUUUUAAAAUUUUUAAGCAUAAUGAAAACAUUUACUAAAAAAAUUUACUAAAUAUGUUUUAAAUUUUAAAAAUUUCAGUAAACAUGUUUACUAAAAGGAUUUUUUAGUAAGUAUGUUUUAAAUGUUUAUGUAUUAUAUCAUAGAGUGUUUGUACAUACAUAAAGGUUCAAAUGAAGACCACAGGGGAUAGUCAAGAGAGACCUCUGAGGGAGUGAGGCUUAAUGACCCAGGGCCAUUCGAAAACUAGAAAACAAAUAUAGUCGGAUACAGUCGGAGUCGGUUUCCAUAUAUUUGGUUAAUCCCCAAAAUACUAAGUGCUAUCUAGUCUUAUUGCUUAUACUUUCCACUAAGGUAUCAAUCUAUAAUCUUGAUGGGAUGAGGAAGCUGACUUUGAAACCAAUAAGAAAAUAAAUGAUGAUUUUCAAUUUUA